UCACUCGGCCUGUCUUUUGGGAAAUCUCACUGCUAAAACAGAAUAGAUGAUGGAAGAAGCGGAGACGCCGUCGUGACAAACGCCGGUGCUCCGAUCCCCCGCCAUGACACAUCGCCGCCACUCCUUCCAGUUCCAGACAAGCCCCUCCUCCUCUUCGGGUCUCCGCAGAUCCCUACCGUUUUUCUCUUACAUUAGAGGUGACCAUUCCUUUUGUGGGUCCUCUUGUUGCCCUUAGGGUUCGUCGAAUAAAGUCGGGUAACCAUGAGGCGGGGCUGCAUCAUUUCUCUUCCCGUGCUCGUGGUUUUUUCGGCCAUCUGUUACAUUUAUUACACCACCGUCUUCAUCUUCAUAGACGAUUGGCUCGGUCUCACCACGUCGUCUGGUCUCUUGAACGCCUUCAUUUUAACGACCACAGCUUUCAUGUGCAUCUUCAAUUACUCCACUGCCAUCCUGAGGGAUCCAGGCGCUGUUCCACCUAGCUACAUGCCCGACGUCGAAGAUGCUGACAUGCCGAUCCAUGAGAUCAAGCGCAAGGGUGGGGAUUUGAGAUAUUGCCAGAAGUGUUCUCUCUUUAAGCCUCCUCGUGCCCAUCAUUGCCGUGUUUGUAGGAGAUGUGUUUUGCGAAUGGACCAUCAUUGCAUAUGGAUUAAUAACUGUGUGGGCCAUGCUAACUACAAGGUUUUCUUCGUCUUUGUGACAUACGCUGUAAUCUCAUGCAUCCACUCCCUGGUAUUGCUUGUGGGUAGUGUCACUCGUGAUGCUCAGAAAGAUGAGCUGCAGAGGGAAGGCUCAAUCAAAACUUAUAUCAUAUCUGGUGUAAUGCUAGUUCCUUUGACAGUAGCAUUAAGUAUCCUCUUGGGUUGGCAUAUAUACCUCAUUUUGCAUAACAAGACAACAAUUGAGUAUCAUGAAGGAGUAAGAGCAAUGUCGCUUGCAGAAAAGAUUGGGAAUGUCUACACACAUCCUUAUGACCUUGGUCCCUACAAAAAUCUGACAUCGGUGCUGGGUCCAAGCAUUUUCAUCUGGAUGUGUCCUACAUCAAGACACAUGGGCUCAGGCCUCCGGUUCCGAACUGCCUAUGAUCAGACAAAUUUCAUAUCAACUUCGAGAUAGACAAAGCUGCAAGUGGCUUGGUCUCUGGACACCCGAGGCGAGUACUCUUAAUGUGGAUGAGAUGCAGUUGGGAUGUGAAACGAAGGCUGGUUUUUCAUUUCAACCACUCCAGAUUGUUCUAGAGUAACCGAUUAAUCUGUUGUGGUUUCUCUGCAAUCAAGUAAUUAUGCUUCGCGAUUGUUCAGUGCUGGGCAUGGAGGGCAGCAUGCGGCUUCUAUGAAGCGAUUGAGCUUGUUUUUGGUGGAUCUGUCAAUGGGCUUGCAACUCAGCGUGAAGUAAGUUUCUUCUUUAACCCCUUGGUAGGCUAACAUCUCAACUUCUUGGCUAUUAAAAUUCUGGGACAGGUCUGGUUUGUGCGUGUUUCGCAGGUAUCUGGUCCCAUUCAACUUGUAUUCUCACUUCAUAAUUAGCAAGUGAAUUUUUGGUCAAUAGACCCUAUUCAGCAUCAAACGAAAUCAAUUCAUGUUCAGAGUAAA